rnacentral:rRNA from 1 species
CAGUAGCCGCGGUAAUACGGAGGGUGCAAGCGUUAAUCGGAAUUACUGGGCGUAAAGCGCACGCAGGCGGUCUGACAAGUCAGAUGUGAAAUCCCCGGGCUUAACCUGGGAACUGCAUUUGAAACUGUCAGGCUGGAGUCUUGUAGAGGGGGGUAGAAUUCCAGGUGUAGCGGUGAAAUGCGUAGAGAUCUGGAGGAAUACCGGUGGCGAAGGCGGCCCCCUGGACAAAGACUGACGCUCAGGUGCGAAAGCGUGGGGAGCAAACAGGAUUAGAUACCCGCGUAGUCCCUGUCUCUUAUAA